rnacentral:lncRNA from 1 species
GCAUAAAUAUAUCAGAUAAAAAUUUGAAACUGGAUGUGUAAAUCAGAAAUUUAAUAUGCAAUAUAAAACUACAUUUUUUUGUUGUAUUAAAAUUACACCUUCUCGUGUAUGUGCAGUCAACCACUUUUCUGGCACGGUAGAGGUGAACUCCGGCACGGUGGUCGCCGACAAAGUUGCUCCAAUUGCAAAAUAAACAUCGAGGUUUUGUUGCUGACAUCAUGAGGAAGAAUAUGAUGGGUUUGAUUUUCCCAAUGGCAACUCACAGUGGCCGGAAAACAAGAGAGAAGGGGGAAGUCUCAAAAAUUAAACUUCUCCAAUCUAAAAAUAAAUUGAGGGCUUUUGUAGAGGAAGAAGAGAGGAAUUCAACGGUGGUGGCAGGGAUUUUAAAGGAGGCCGGACGGAAUAGUUAUGGUGACCGGAGGUUGGUGGUGGUGACGAAAAAAAUGAGAAGGAAGAAUAAGAAAGAGUCGUACAACAAGAGAGGAAGAAGAAAAUAUGGAGUGACUUUACUUUCAGAUUUUGAUUUGGGGAAAAGAGAUAGAGAAGGAUUGAAGAGGAAAAUGAAGGGUUUUUAGGUUUUGAUUUGGAGAAGAAAAAUAGAAUAGAUGGAAAUCUAGUUUCAUUCAAUAUGGGACUUUUCAAAAUUAAAUGGGGAAAAUGUUGGAGCCAAGUGAAAAUAGUAGUACAAGAGGGAAGUGAAAUUCAAUUAUUUUGGUCAUAAAAAGGAAAGUGAAAUUGGAGGGAGAUGAAAUUCGAUUAUUUUGGCAUAAGAAGGAAAGUGAAAUUGGAGGGAGAUGACAUUUGAUUAUUUUUAUCAUAAAAGGAAAAGGGAAAUGGAGUAAUAUGAUUCUACUACCAAAAACAAUAAUUAAAAUGUAAUUAACUUUUUUUUUAAGUUAAUAUUCAAUUCAUUACAUUUAUUUAUUUUUAAAAAAAAUCAUUCCCUUAUUUAUUUUUUAAGAAAUAACACCCUUUUUUUGUUUAAUUUUCGCAUAAUCUAAUUUAAAGAUGUCAGCACGACUGAUCAAAUUACUCUUACCCCUAACUGGAAGAAUCUUGGAGUCAAAGUAUUUGGAUGAACGUUCAAUGACUAAUAACUCUUUUUAUCGACUCUAUAAAUAGAGAUCAAAGGCUCAACAUUACUUGCACCAUUGCAAAACAUACAAGAAAAUAACUUGAUUUUAUUUGAAGCUCUUGCAAUUGAAAUUGAUCAAUCACUGAAGGCUCUUGUUACCUUCUUAUAGCGCACAUCAAUACUCUUUGUUAUUUAUCUUAAAGAUAACUUCUUCUUCCUCCUCCUCUUCUUUUAGGUCUUAGAAGGUCAUUUUGAACGGUCGAGUUGAUUGUACUUGUUGAUGUUCAGGUGAUAGGCACGUUUAGGUCCCCGGAGUAAACUAGUUACUAAGUUGACUAGUUCUUGAGGGGAUAGUUCGUCCGAUCGACUUACCUCCGAGAACCCGAUCUGAGAAAUUCAAGUUUNGAAUAAAUUCCGCUGCGAAGUAUUAAAUAUUAUGUUAUUGAAUUUUGAAGGAUAAUUAGUUAAUUAUUCCGUUUAUGAUUUUAAGAAAAGAAGUGUGACAUUUCUUUUUUGUGAAUUACUCUGAUUAAUUAAAUGAAAUUUUUAUGUUGGGAAAACGGGGUGUUACAAUAAAUCGUACAAUCUAACCCAACCUGUGCUGAAGAGUUUUUUUUUGGUUUUAGGGCUAAAAUCUUUUGACCAAGAGAAUAAUUUGAGGAUACCUGGGUUUAAGUUCCACGAGGAAAUGGAUCUCACUCUGUUUACAUCUUCUAGGGUUGAGAACACAAACUCAUAAUAUCCUUUCCUAAUGAAAGUAAUUUCCCACUUGGACAGAUCUUUCCAAAACGGCGCCAGUUUGUUCUUUAAAGCAACUGUUGUUAGUGGAGUUGCACCCUUAGGCCAAAUCACCCUACCAUGAAGAUUCAGCUUGCAUGCAUCCAUACCUUCAUUAUAUUCUUCCUCCGGGAUCAUGAUAGCAAGCUCAUCCCCUUUGAGACAGGGUUGAGGUAACUGGGAAGCUGGAAUCUCGCAAAUGGUUGAGAUAGCUUGAGCGAAUGUUUUGUGUGCUUUUUGUUGGUGGUUGUGGUUUCAGAAUCUAUAUCUAGGCAUUUCCAAGGGAUCACGAAAGGAUUCAUUGUUGAUCAAUGGAAGAAGGGUGGGUCCGGUGGUUGUUUAGGGAAUGUUUAAGGUUGAAGCUAGAUGACAAUGAACAGUGAAAAAAACAAAGCAAAAUCGCCAGUCUUUCUCUCACAUCUCUCUAACAUUUCAUCUCACCACCCAUAAUAUAGAUAAUACUAAACUUAAUAAAAAAAAAAAUUAUACUAAAAAUAGUUGUAAGAACCAAAAUUACAACAAAAAAAAAACACUCUAUCAUCUAUUUGUUGAAAAUGAGCUAAAGUUUUAAAUUUAGAUGAAUAUUGUUAACAUUUUAAAAUAUAGAUGAUCAAAUCGAAGAAAAAUAAGUUAAAAAACUAAAACAUUAUUUAAAAUUAAGUUAAAAGACUAUUAACGUAAUUUUGCCCUUAUUUUUUUUGGCUUAAAAGUACUUUUGGUCCCCUAUUAAAAAAAGGCUUAAUUGCAGUUUUGGCCCCCUAUGUUUCAAGAAGUUGUGAUUUUGACCCCUUAACUAAAUAAACUACAAAACCGCCCCCUAAGUAUUGACUUUUUUUGCAGUUUUGACCUCCAGACCAAUUUUGACAAAGUCAAUGCACACAUGGACGCCACAUGUGUAUUUAUUAAUUUUUUUUAUUUUUUAUUUUAUGCUUUAAAUAUUUUUUUAAUUAAUUUUUUAUAUAUAUAUAUUUUAAGGGAGCCCCUAAUAUGGACCCUCUUUUUUAGGUCGCAUUUAGAAUACACAAAUAUAAGAUUUGUGCACCAUGCACAAGUUCAUUCUUUGUGGACAGUUGUCGGUCUAAAACCUGUUGUGAUAAAUGUAAUAAAAAAAUGAAACAUUAGUUUAAUAUUAAAUAUUGGUUUUAUUGCUUUUGCUGGAUGCACCUCCAUAGUUGAAUGAAACAAUACUGCUAGUAAUAAUCUAAACAUAGGAAGAAGAAAAAAGCCAUGAUUCAAUUAGCACCGGAAUUCCAAUUAAAUUAAAUUAAUUUGCUAUCAUUUCAGAUUUGUAAUUUCUGUUUAAUUUUAAUUUAUAUUAGUAAAAGUUGUUUCUUCCAUCUUUGACGGUGAUACUGAGAAAAGAUUAAGAGAGACGGUUUGUGCGACUCGGGCGAGUUGACUCGGAGCACAGAAACGUGAGAAAAAAACAACUCUUCAACAGAUUCAUUCUUUAUUGUUUCACGUUUCUUUCAACCUGAACAACAAGGGUGACAUAGGUUGUUGGAUAACGGCGGCCGAAAGUCGUGGUCAUCAAAUUCAUAUUUGCUUUCAUCUUGCCUUUCAAUUCCGAUCAAAACUAAGCAAUAAUCUCUAUAUUUCAUUGUGUAUCAUGUGAGAUCUGAUCGGUUCGCAUCACGGAUCGGAAAAACCCGUUUCAAAUCCGUCGGGUGAAGGAAGAAGAUGAUAAUUCAUAAAUAAAGAAACAAUGUAAAUUAAAAGCCCAAAAAAAACUUGCGCUUGGGAGCACGUGUAGGUCCCAGAAUUCCAAAAUAAUUAAUUUUUUUAAUGCCCAAUAAAUAUCAAAUAUUAUUAUGAUCGUAUUGGUAUUUUUUUGGUUACAUGGGCAUAAGCUGGACGCUGAAUAACACCACUACACCAUGCAUUUUGUUGUAAAAUAUAUUCAGAUUUAUCGGAGCCUAGUAUUGGUAUAGUUUUGGAGUUAUUCUUUCUUUUUUUAAGAAAAGAUGCUUAUAGCAUUUCAUUAAUAAUAAUAAUAGGUUGAAUACAUAAUGAGAUUGCAUAAUAAAUAAUGGGAUUAGCUAGGGAAGUGGCUUCUCUUGCUAAAGCAUGAGCCGCCGCAUUCGCUUGUCGCCUAAUAAACUCUACCCGGGAGUUUGUAAAGGAGGUGGAAAAAAUCUCUCGGCACGCGUCAAUAAUAUUUCCAAAUUCUGUAACGUCGAUCGUACGGGAGUAAAAAGCAUCUCGAGUGAUUUUUGAAUCAAGUUCAAAGUCUAUAUUAUCAAAAUGCAUAUCUUGCAUCCAUUGCAUAACAUGAUAUAGACCCAACGCUUCACCGAUAGCUACAGGAAAUAAUUGAUCAAAUUGCAACACUUUUGCUAGCACAAAAGUUCCAGAAUCAUCACGUAUACACACGCCGAUACCUGUCCUCUGAAAUUGUGCUGAAAACGACGCAUCGACAUUGCACUUGAAUCUCCCACUUCUCGGUGGUGUCCAUUUCAGAUUACCAUGACAUGCUGGCCUGUUAUGGUGAUGUGCGUGAGCCUGCAAAGGGACAGCAGACUGUUGGUGUUGUGCGUGAACCUGCAAGGGAACAGCAGGUUAUUGUUGUUGCACAUCCUCCUGCAGAAACGUUGCUGGUUGCAGCGUGUUUGCUUCUUCCCAAUCUGCAAUCAAGUUUCGAGCUCUGUCAACAACUUGUGCACUGUUCUCAUCAACGUUCUCCCAAAUUUUAAGGUUCCGGUGCUUCCACAAACUCCAGCAAGUAGCAACAAAGCGUUGUUUAAUAUUUCUGGACAGAUUCUGGAGUAUAGAGAAAAUAGAAUUUGCAGCAGAAUCAUAAUGAAUGGCUGCAUGUUGAACAUCAUGCCAAAUUCCUACAGAAUUCCAAACAUGGAUAGCAAAAGGACAUUCAAACAACAGAUGAUUUAAAUCUCCCUUUAUCUUGCAAACGAACUCGAGUCGGUAAGCAUCCCCGACACNUAAUAAUAUAAGCAACACAACAUAUUCAUCAUCUUAUAAUAAUAUAAACAACAACAUAAUCAUUAACAUUCCAUGGUUUGUCAUCAACAACAACUUCAACGAUUCGAGGACGACAACGUCAACCUGUCAAUACAACUACGUGAGAGUGCACCACCUCUUAUGAAACAACGACUUCAGAGUACACCACCUCUUAUAAAACAACGACGUAAGAGUACACCACCUCUUAUGAAACAACGACGUAAGAGUGCACCACAUCUUAUAAAACAACAGCGUAAGAGUACACCACCUCUUAUGAAGCAACGACGUAAGAGUCCACCACCUCUUAUAAAACAACAACUUAAACAGUCACCAACAACAGCUUCAACUACGGCUUCAACAACUUAGACAACAUCAACAACUUAAGACUCCAAUACUUUGGAACGACAACUUAUAACUUAGACAACUUAAACCAACAUCUCCAACUUGAUCAAUAUUCAACAUCAAAAGAAACAGCACAAGCAAUUCACAACAUAACAAUAUUAAUGAAAAGCAUAAACAACUUAAACAUCAUACAUUUUCCACAUAAGGCAUAUAAUUAUUUCACAUAACCAACAAUAUUAAUCAUCUUAAUUUCAGACUCUCUGAAGAACAUUAAUAUUAAAAACAACUUCAUUUCUACCCCAAGGACCAACUCACAACAUAUGUUAAAUACUAUGAAACACCUUAGUUGAACUCAUAGUACUUCUAGUUUUGAGGUUUGGAAUUAUCCCAUAAGUUUUGGAUUAACUUAUAAAUGGUUAUGCUGCAUUUUCAUAAGAUUUCACUAAGACCUCCUUGGAGUAUUUUCAUCAUAUCUCAAACACUAAAAAUCAUUUUCAAGUCAAACCCAAGCCACUGGAAAGGUAACACAAUUAUCUACAACUUUCAUGUUUACACAAAAAGUCAAUUCAAAACAGAAACGUGUGAAAAAGACGCAAGAACGCGAAACAGGGGAUGCUGUCAAAGUGCAGCUCGCGAAGCGAGUAAGUUUACUCGCAGUAGCGAGUUGCGACGGACAAAUCUACGGGAACAGACCAUUUUUCACUCCUAAAGCCCCAAUUUCAUCAACCCAAAUCCUAAAUUUGAUAGGAAACUCAACCUAUGUUUAUUCUACAGCCUGAACUUCAAUUCUUAUGUUAAUUCAUUGAAUUACCUACUCUUUAACAAUCACUUCCAAACCAAAACCUAAUUUCUCUAAUCAUCAAAAUUACCACCUACAUCAUGUUAAAUCCAGUUUUCAUAAUUUAAAUACUUAGAAUUAGAGAAAGUUAGUCCCACCCUUACCUUAGUAUUGAUGAUCGGCGGUCUCUCUCCCUCUUGGUUCUCCUCUUCUCUUGUUUUCUCCCUUUUCUCCCAAAACUGGUUGUACGUGAAAAGUAAUUCUAAACCUAGUUUUUCCUAUUUAUCUCUUCCCAUCUAUUUUAUCUUAUUUCCACUUAAUCCACUAAACUCUCUAAAUUCUCAAAACAGCCCCACAAUCUUAAUCUUAUUUCUAUUUUCAAGACUUAUUAUAUUAAAUAAUAAAAUAACACUACUUAAUAAAAUAACGACACACCACAUAAUCAUUUAAAUCACAUAAAUAUAAAAUAAGUCACUUAAUAAAUCACAUAAUCAUAUAAAUAAAUUCUAAACCUAUUAAAACAAUCAAAACAUCAAAUAAUUCAAAGAGGGCGUUACACUGCAAAGUUUUGAAUUAAUAUGUUGAAGGAUAAAUUGUUAUUUAUCUCAUUUAUCUUUUUUAAGAAGUGUAGCAUUCCGUUUAUGUGUUUAUUACUCUGGUAAAUGUUAUGAAAUUUUUAUGUUGGGAAAAACGGAGUGUUACAGUUAUGAUUUGGUUAUUAAGUGCUAUAUGAUGAUGUUUAUAAUGUGAUGAAUAUGGAGUUAAUGAUGAUUUGGAGUUGGUUGAGUUAUUAAGAAGUAUUUGUAACGCCCACUUUCGUUUAAUCGUUAUUUAAUCGAGUUUAGGUGAUUAUAUUAUAUUUAUAUAAUAUAUGUAUGAUUUUGAUAUGUUUUGAUGAUUUUUGGUGAUUUUGGUGAUUUGAUUGAUGACGUGUUAAGUUAUGAGUUUUGGAGGAUUUGAUNAGACAAAGUACUUGGAUGAACGAUCACUUACUAAUCAAACUCUUGUUAUCGACUAACCAAGCUUACACCUCUAACCCUAGCGACAACUCUCACCCUAAUGACAAGUUUCUUAGACCUAACCUACUUCAAAGAUUUCAAAGCGACUCAUCAAACUCACAACUUUUACCCUUACUAGAAGAAUCUUGGAGUCAAAGUACUUGGAUGAACGUUCAAUGAAUAAUGAAACUCUUUAACGACUAAUCAAGCAUGUAACUCUAACCCUAACGACAAUAGUCUUCGACCUAAACUGCUUUAAUAGUUAGAUCAAGAGGUCAUAACGACUAAUCAAUCCCACAAUUCUUACCCUAACAACAAGAAUCUUAUACGAAAAGUACUUGGAUAAAUGUUAAUUGAUUAAUCAAGAUAUUCACUACGUGGUUUGCAUUUAAUUAAUUUUAUCGUUAUUAUUAAAACUAAUUUAUAAAUUCAAUAUACAUAACAAAUUACAACUAUUUUUUAAACACAUUGAAACGAAAAUAACAUUAUAAUAUUGUAAUUAAAUAAACUCAAGAAUAAAAAAUGAAAAAAUAAAUUCUUAAAGCUAAAGAAUAAAUGUUUUGUGUAUUUUAAUGUUCAUUUACCUUAACCCAUUCAACAAUUAUGUACACACUUCGGUCACCAAAAUAAGCAAAACUAUAAAUUUUAGAUUUAUUCAAUAAAUUAUCUAUGUGGUCUUUAAUAUACAUCACACACACUAUUUAUAAUAGUGUGACUCGAUGAACUGUCUAUUUUUUUUCGAAAAUUAAAACAAAAAUCCAAUUACUAAUUUUUUUAUCUAAUUAUCUAAAUUUUCAAAACAUGAUAAACAAUCUAAUUACUAAAUUUUUAUCCAAUUAUUAAAUUUUCCAAAAAAAAAAUUCGAAUUAUCUAAAUUUUAUCAAUUUGCUUCAACAACUUCUACUAACUUUUUAUUCAUUUUCAAUUUAAUUUAUAUUUAAUUUAUAAAUAUGAUUUAUUGUAUAUUUAAUUUUUAAUAAUAAUUAAUUGUAUAUUUAAUUUAUAUUAAGAUUUAAGGAAAAUUUAAUAAUUCCCUUCUACCAUUAAGCCCAAUACAACAUUUUCUUAUGGACCUCAUUUUGUUAUAUAAGCCCAACACAAUAUUUGAAAAAAAAAAAACAAUUAAAAUAUUUCAAUUUAAUCAACAAGUGGAACCCGCGGUAUUGUAGCAGCAACAACAUCAGCAGGUCACCCAUCCCUUUAACAACACAGAUCUCAACCGUUGGAGUUUUAUAUUAAUAAAUCAAUGGCCCAGAUUUGCUGUCAGCUUUUAAAUGCACAAUUUAUGCAUGGUGCACAAAUCUUGUAUUUGUGCAUAUCAAACUCCACCUUGUUAAACAUAUAUCAUGCAAAAUCUAUCUCAAUUUUAUCUUAGCAUUUUUAAUUAAAUUGCUCAAAUAAUAUAUUUAAAAAAACACAUAAAUAAUAUUUAAAAAGAAAAUAAUCCCAUGGUUAUAUUUUUACACAUCAUGUGUCAUGUCAUUUUUUUUUGACAAAAUGUAUCAUGUCAUUUAAAAAAUAAUAAUGUGUCAAAUCAUCAAAAUUGAAGGUUAAAUUAUGAUAUAAAACUUCAAUACUAAUUAAAUAUUUUAUGUUACUAAUUACUUAUUUUUAAUAACGAUGCAAAAUCCAAAUUAAUAUCAAUUAAUUAUUUUCUGUUAUUAAUCAAUUAUUUUUAUCACCGUUGCAAAUAUUAAUUAAAUAUUUUUUGUUAGUCAAUUAGUUACAAAAAUAAUAACUUUACAAUAUUAAUUAANNNNNNNNNNNNNNNNNNNNNNNNNNNNNNNNNNNNNNNNNNNNNNNNNNNNNNNNNNNNNNNNNNNNNNNNNNNNNNNNNNNNNNNNNNNNNNNNNNNNNNNNNNNNNNNNNNNNNNNNNNNNNNNNNNNNNNNNNNNNNNNNNNNNNNNNNNNNNNNNNNNNNNNNNNNNNNNNNNNNNNNNNNNNNNNNNNNNNNNNNNNNNNNNNNNAAAAGAAAAGGUCAGAAGCAGUUUUACGUGAAACAAGUUUUGGGAGAGAAAAUCAAGAACAAGGGUGGGAAGAACAACUGGAGUCAGAGAAUCCGAUUGUUGUGCUUUUGUUCAUCUAAAUUAAGGUAAGGGUGAGACUAUCUCUCAAUAAUCAUAGUAUAUAAUUUCUGAAAAUUGAUCUAAUUGAAUUGUUCUUGAAAAUAAAAAUUGGGAAUUAGGGUUGAUGCUGAUUUUGAAAGGGAUGGUGUAAGAAUCAUGUUUAAUGUGUUUAGUUUAGGGUUUAGAAUGAUUUCUUAAUCUAUAUUGUUGUUGGGAUCAGAAUUAUGAAGGAGAUUAGAAUUUGUGGGAUAAAUUGGAGAAGUUUUGUAUGAUUGCUAGAAAUGGUACAGUUACUGAACUCAAACCCUAAAAUCCAGAAUCUCUCAAAAUUAAUCACUGAACCCAGGACUUAAAUUCCUUACUAUCUAAUCUAUCAUGGACCCUAAUCUCUCUCUAAUCUUACUCACUAAGUGUAUAAAAUCCCUAAUCUCUCAAUGGGUCACGGUCUCAACUACUCCACAGUUAACACCCACCCUUCAUCCGUGAACAUCAAAACGGAGAAUAAAUCGCCAAAAACAUGUUUAAAUAAUGUCCUGGUUCAAAAAUCCGAAAAUGCGUCUACAAAACUCCUACAAUACACUUUAGAGGAGGGAAGGAAGAUGAAACUCACCAAGAAGGAGAAAAAUGGAGUAAAUGGUCGUCAACCAAUUUUCCGGCACGGUGGUCGCCGAUAAAGUUGCUACUAUUGCAAAAUAAACAUAGGGGUUUUGUUGCUGACAUCAUGAGGAAGAAUAUGGUGGGUUUGGUUUUUCCAAUGGCAACUCACGGUGGCCGGAAAACAAGAGAGAAGGGGAGAUCUCAAAAAUUAAACUUCUUCAAUCUAAAAAUAAAUUGAGGGCUUUUGUAGAGAAAGAAGAGAGGAAUUCAAUGGUGGUGGUGGGGAUUUUAAAGGAGGCCAGACGGAAAAGUUAUGGUGACUGGAAGUUGGUGGUGGUGGUGGUGACGAAAAAAUGAGAAAGAAUAAGAAGAAAGAGUCGAACAGGCAAGAGAGGAAGAAGAAAAUAUGAAGUGGCUUUUAUUCUUUCUUUCUUUUACUUAAAAU